UACGUAGGUGGCAAGCGUUGUCCGGAUUUAUUGGGCGUAAAGAGCUCGUAGGUGGUUCGGUAAGUCGGAUGUGAAAUCUCCAGGCUCAACCUGGAGGGGUCAUUCGAUACUGCCGUGACUAGAGGUCGGUAGGGGAGUGUGGAAUUCCUGGUGGAGCGGUGAAAUGCGCAGAUAUCAGGAGGAACACCGGUGGCGAAGGCGGGUCUCUGGGCCGAUAUUGACGCUGAGGCGCGAAAGCCAGGGGAGCAAACGGG
rnacentral:rRNA from 1 species